CCCAUCUCGCCUCCCAAAGUGCUAGGAUUACAAGCGUGAGCCACCGCGCCCAGCCUUCUUAAAAUGUGAUUUGACCCAAUUUAAAGCCUCCCUUUCUUCCCCAUUAACCUCCAGUUUUUGACAGAUUUUCUUAGAACAUUCCAAAGAUUCUCUCAUUACUUCAGAAACUUAUCUCGAAAUGAUGUAAAAGGAGGUUCAAAAUAUUAGGUUGCUUUUGGGUUCCCUUUAUCUCGAACAUUGUUGCGUAGAUUUGAGAAAGGGCUGAUUUCUACUUUGUUUUCUAAUCAGCAAGUCACUGGUUUUUCUACCUAAGAGAGACUGAACAUUAACCACAGUGAAGCAGAAGGGUUGAGCCGCAUUUACAAAGUGCCUUCACAUUUUGGUCCUCAGAAACCCAUCCGAGGGGGACAGAGUAGGUGUUACUGUUCUGAUUUUACACAUGAAGAGACUGGCCACUCGCCCCCACAAAUUUCUGGAAGCUAGUCUUCCUCACUGAACUGGAGCCAGAAGCCAUGUGAAGCCAGCCUGCUCCUGCCUACACCCUCCUUCCUCCAGGUCAAUGUCAUUUAGAAUAUAUUGCAUCCUUUUCUUGGAUCUGUCUGCUAGGACCCGGGCCACCCUCCUGCUGGAGGCAACCCCGACAGCCCAUAUUUUAAGCAGCUCUUUUCACAGCCUGCAAACCUCACGGAUUGUCUCUUACAACUGUCUGUUUACUCACUUCCCUCCACCCAGUCAAUUCCGACUCCAGGCCCGGGAGGACAAUUUUAAAGUGUUUCUGCAGACAGACCCUCUGGCCGCGCCGGAAGUGUUUUAUGGACCUGUGAGCCGAGUUAAUCCCAGGAGGCGCGGCUGGAUUAGUCCCGGGUUUUUAUUCUUCCAGCCCUGUGGAAAGGAGGAGAGCCGCAACCCGGAGAGGGAGCCGGAAAGAAACACUUAAUCACCGGCGUCUCGCUGCUCGUCACGCGAAGAUGGCAGCGGCUCCCCUGGGUUUCAAGGUUCCGGGAAAGGCGUGUGUUCUGCCUUAAGGCGCGCGGGCUGAUGCGCUCUCUCCCUCGGCUCGGCGGCCGGCUCCGGCUCACAGAGCCUCUCUCAACGCCGGCAAGUGCAGCCGGGCCGCCCAGCCCCCAGGCCAGCCUGGCCCCCUCUGGGCCUGGGGUUGGCGAGGGCAGCUGGGCGUCUGCGCUGCCCAGCCCAGCCGCGGAUCCAUGGGGUUUCGCGAGCUGAAAGUAAAGGCUUGAGGGAGUGGGGACACCCACACCGACCCGCGGCACGCAGGGGAGUCAAGCUGCGGCCAAUGCAAGACGAGCAGGGUAGACUACUACUAGCGGUGGCCGGAGGCUCAGCCACCUUCGCGGGAGAGGGGAUUUACCGCCACCCUCAUCCACGCGCAGGCCCCACCGCCCGGUCCUCUCCUCUGAUCCCCGGGCCAUUGCGAAACACGGAGCGAACAGGUCCUCGCCAGCAGCCGUCAUUUCCCGGGAAGAUGGGAACCCACAAGCCUGACUGUGCUUCCUAAGGAUACUAGCGUGCGCGCAGACCUUGGGGGGAAAGAGGGCAGCGCGGUCUCCCCGACCCGGACUCUUCCCUGGCGCAGCACACAACCGCCACGGGCUUCCGAAGCGCCCGAGCGGGGAGGAGGAAGGAAAAGCGGAGGCCCGGGAGGCGGGCUGCGCGCUUGGAAGCCGUGUGUGUUUAUGUGUCUGCGCGCGCGCCCUGGCCGGACGGGUGUUGAGGGGAGAGUGAUCGUGAGCAACCCGGAACCAGCAGUCCCAACCUGGACUGACGAACUGGGCUCUCCAGUCCUGGGCCGUGGGGCUCCAUGCCUCGGGCUGGCGGGACAAGCGGCGGGGAGCCCGGAGCUUCGGAGCCGCCGCCGGGCAUCUAGCCAGCUCCGCGGGAGAAGCCCGGGGGCGCGUCGGGAGCCAGGGGACUGGUGUGAACUAGCCGCCCCCGCAGGCGGACGUUUAGCUCCGGCACCCGGGAGCACUGACACUGGGCGAUAAGGAGUUCCUCGGCAAUCGGCUGUCCCCAGUCCCCAGUCACCUCCGGCGGACGUGACCGCCGGAUGCUAUGCAGCUAGGUGGGCCAGGGGGGCCUUUGCAUUGCCUUCCCUGACCCCUUCCUUGCCGCGGAGGAGCCACAGUAAGAUGCCUCUGUACGACUCUCCAGAACUUUCUUUUGCAAAAUAAAGGCCAAAUGUUGGGC
rnacentral:lncRNA from 1 species